AUUUCGCACCUCAACUUCGGAGUCAUCAGCCUCAUCCCCAAAGUUAAAGGGGCCGAUUCUAUCAAGCAAUAUCGCCCCACCACUCUUAUUAACGUGCCGUUCAAAAUUUGCUCCAAGGCCUACUCGGCGAGGCUAGCCCCGGUAGCGCAGCGCAUGAUUGACUAUAGUCAGUCAGGUUUCCUCAAAGGCCGCAACAUUCUCGAAGGUCUGGUAGUGUUGCAAGAGAUUGUCCACGAGCUUAAACGCACGCGGCAGCCGGCCGUGCUUCUCAAGCUCGACUUUGAGAAAGCCUACGAUCGAGUGAACUGGGAGUUCAUUCGCGAGGUACUGAUUCGGAAGGGAUUCGAAUCAGGUUUUGUUCACCGUAUCAUGCACUGA
rnacentral:rRNA from 1 species